UUGGAAAGCCCACUGGCCCCCAAUCCCCACAACCGCCUGCCCGCACCUCUCCCUCCUCCGGUCCUCCCUCGUCUCAGCCGCCACCCCCAUGAACCCUAGCCGCGCCCUCCUGCAUUUGUCCUCCUCCCCCUUCCUAGUCUGCCCCAAGCCCCUCCUCGUCUCAUGAGCUAGCCGAGGAGAAGCGGGGUGGCGCGAUGCCCUGGUCGUCCGCCGGCGGGGAGCCUGCGUAGAGGCGGUGGCGGAGACGACCCUAGAUGGUGCCCCGGCCAAGAUCUGGACAGGGCGCCUCAACCUCGCCUUCCUCUUCCACCUACUUGCUGAUAGAGAGACAGCAGCAGCGGUGGGAGGAGGCUGGGCGUAGAGGAGAGAAGUGGCCGAGGGGGGUGCAAAGCCAGGAGAUGGGGGUCGCCGGAUGAGCAUAGCCGCACAUGGCCUAAUCCCGCCGCUGCCAGAGCAGAGUGGAGGACCACACGGGCCCGAUGGGGUGGCCGGGAGCGCGCGACAUCCGUCUCCCAAGCGGCUCCCAAGCAGGGAAUGCAGCGGUGCUGGCCUCUCCUCUCCCCGCGCCUCUGUCCUGCAUCGUCACUACUGCCACGGCCUUGCUCGCCAUUGACCUCCCCAAGUGCUUCUCUCCAUAAAUGGUGCCUCCAUGUCCAGACCAAUUCAAGCGCGAGGAAAGUACAACACGUGCGCGUAACUUGUUUGAGGAAAUUCCAUCUGGAAGCAAUAUUUGAUCAUGACUUGUGUUCUUGAUGCUUCAUCUACGGCUAGCUGACUACAACAGCACAUAUGUAAAGGGAAACCAUCGUAAGAAACACAGUAAAUUUCUUCAAAGGAUCUGUUUAAAGACAACAGGCAUAUAUUUGUACAGAGAUCAUAUUAUUUUGAUACCCAUAUGAAGUUGGUGGUUCAUGGAGACCCAAGGUGCACUGACAGAAGAUAUCAGAGGAGCAGAGGAAAAUGCAAGUGUGUAUGUGUGAAAAAUUAUUGCUUUAACUCAAGAUCAGCUCUUCGUUCUUUCAAGCGCUAUGUUGCUUACUCAAAUGUUUGUGGCGAUUGUAUCCUUGUGCCAUGAAUAUUUGUACUUAGCAUAUCAAUAUAAACAUAUUGUCUAUCUAUUUACCAAUUCAGAAUUUAAAGCACUUUAUUUUAUGGCCUUGAGUAAAAGUUCAGUCGUUGUUGGCUAGAAGACAUCUUCAAUACGCCGUCAACACGAGCUUCCGAAGAAAGAAGAUUUGGUGGAUGAUGUAAGAUAUCCACAUGUUGUAUAUGUGGAAAAACCAAAGGCUCGGGAUGUUGAUUUUUCGGAUGAAAUGAUUUAUCAGGCAAAAACUACAAGUGAAAUGGAAGAACUAACGCUCAAAAGCCUGAAUAGAAUUCCUUGGCAAAGGGUAGAUGUUAGCUUCAAGAGAAGUAGACAAUGGAUUUUUGCCCAUAGCACCAUUCAGGUCCAGUUGUCGUUGCCUUCACUUGCUUUGUCGUUUACCGAUCUGUCAGCUUGCCGGUUCCCUGACUUGCCGUCAAAGUUUGUGUUCUAUGCCUCCAUUUUCUGUUUUAUUUCUUUUUGUUUCUCUAUAUUACUUACUAUUUUAUUCUGCUACCUGACCAGGUGUUGCGUGCGUGCUUUAUUUGUUUGUUUCGGUUUCUUAUGCUGCUUAUUUCAUUUAUACUGCUUCCUGUGGGUGUUGCGUGCGUGCUUUAUUUGUUUGUUUCGGUUUCUUAUGCUGCUUAUUUCAUUUAUACUGCUUCCUGUGCCAGGAUGUGCCUUGCUGUGUCUUUUGUGAUCCCAAUUUUUUAGACCCUGGUGGCGCAAUUUUGUUUGCCCGCUCUUUCAUGCGUGUGUGAGAUUAUUGACGAUGGGGUUGUGCUUGUUGGGGUGGAGCCAAAGCAGUGUCUCCCCGCCGUCAGAUAGGAUGUUCUUCUGGGCAACUGGCGGUACGGGGGCACUGUCCGCCUAUGAACAGGCUGCUCUGCAAGCUAUAAAAUUCUUGCAGGGACGAUGUAAAUCAUGUUGCUGUUGAUUAGGAUGAUUCAUAUACAACUUGGGUCUAUAUUUUUGUUAGCUUGAUUAGGGGAGAGACAGAGGCAGGGAGGUGCCUAGGAUGAGUAGGAAGGCUCUGGGAAAUUUUUUGCCGAACCUGUGUAUGUUCUGUUUUGCCCAGUUGAAUGUGUACACUUCAUGUCAUAUAGCAUAGUAAUAGCAGAUGAUAAACUAUCGUUGUCAUAUUAUUGAACUUGAUAUCCUAUUUGAACUAGACAGAUAAUUUUGACAAGAUUUUAUCCUGGCGUAAACAUGCUGUCAUAGUGUCAACACAAUAAUAAUAGAAAAACCUUCUCAAAAUUCAGGUGAGGUGAAGCAAGCAAGCACCUCCCCGUGUUUUAUAUGUAAGCAAUCACCUCCUCGUAUUGCUUUUCCCGACCAUUGUUCAUUUAAACCUUUCUUCUGUAUUGGCGCUACUGGAUAACCAUUAUUGAUUUACCAAAAAGGAAUCAUAACACUACAGGUCAUGGAAAAUAGAUAUAAUUAGCACAUAAUCCUGCAAGUUUCACCUAAUAUGCACAUGUCGUUUCCGUUUUCCAAAAUAUAUACCAUUGAGAAACUUACUGGAUGCAGUGCAGAUUCUAGGAUAUUAACAUUUGCAGCCAUACGUUGGUUUCAAUGGUGACAGAUUUUUGUCAAUCCCACAGAGAUAAUUUACUUCAAGACUAGCAAAUACAUUCUGAUCGAGGAGAGAGCAAGCCGUUGCAGAGGAGAGGGGAUACGACGGUGGGCGGAGGUCAGGCAUUGCUAACAGAUUUGCGGUGGAGUGGGAGAGGUGACGCCGGCCGGCCGGCGCCUCACCACCGGCUCCUGUUUGGCGGCGGCAAAGAGAAGGGUGCCGAGGAUGUGUUUCUCUAUGCAUGGCUGUCGAAGUACAUCAUCUUUAUGAUGUGUAUGGUUUCUCUAUUUUCAGCCCUACCGCUCCAGAGCCCGAAUCCCAUGACCAUGCCCCCACCACUCCUUCGUUGAAUGAAGGGAGUCUGGUUGCUAAAAAGCCAUAACACAUCUUUACAUGUAAGUUUGUUCUCCAAAUAGUUCUCUUUCCAAGAUUUUCAUAUCAUAUUUGUCGAGGGAUCUGACUGCUUUACCAUAUUUUCCUGGUGUGGACGAUGUUAUAGAGUGAGCUACCAUCACUUCUCAUUACUGACUGUAAUCAAUUAUAUAUGUGUUUAUGCCAUAAAAGAUGGAUAUUUGUUGAAGCCAUUGUCGUGUCAUGUAAUUACUUGCAGAUCAACUAUAUAGUUUUGUUCGGAUUGUAAAGUGGAAACGAUAAAACCCUACAACUCAUGUGUGAUUGUCAUUUGAUUAUUUAGUUCCUCAAGUAGUAUGGAUAUGGUGCUGCCAGGAUAUUAAGUAUAUUAUGAAGUUGUAUAAACCACGUUCUAUGAUUCACUUCUGUUAUGCAUAUUUACUUUCCAGUUU